rnacentral:rRNA from 1 species
GGCGGCGUGGAUAAGACAUGCAAGUCGAACGAAGAAUAUUCGGUAGCAAUAACUGGGUAUUUUUAGUGGCGAAAGGGUGCGUAACACGUGGGUAAUCUACCGUAAAGUUCGGAAUAACUUCGAGAAAUCAAAGCUAAUACCGAAUGUGAUCUGACAGGGACAUCCCUGUUCCAUUAAAGCUGGGGACCUUCGGGCCUGGCGCUUUACGAUGAGCCCGCGCCCUAUCAGCUUGUUGGUGAGGUAAAAGCUCACCAAGGCUAAGACGGGUAGCCGGUCUGAGAGGACGAUCGGCCACACUGGAACUGAGACACGGUCCAGACACCUACGGGUGGCAGCAGUCGAGAAUCAUUCACAAUGGGGGAAACCCUGAUGGUGCGACGCCGCGUGGGGGAUGAAGGUCUUCGGAUUGUAAACCCCUGUCAUUUGUGAACAAACCUUUUGGUUUAAUAGAUCAAAAGCUGAUAGUAGCAAAAGAGGAAGGGACGGCUAACUCCGUGCCAGCAGCCGCGGUAAUACGGAGGUCCCAAGCGUUGUUCGGAUUUACUGGGCGUAAAGGGUGCGUAGGUGGCCAGGAAAGUUUGAUGUGAAAGCUCCGAGCUCAACUCGGAAAAUGCAUUGAAUACUACUUGGCUUGAGGAUCGGAGGGGAGACUGGAAUUCUCGGUGUAGCAGUGAAAUGCGUAGAUAUCGAGAGGGAACACCAGUGGCGGAAGGCGGAGUCUUCUGGACGAUUCCUGACACUGA